CAGGGUGGGCAAUGUCUCCUCCUAAACUGCAAGCAAAAAUUAACCUGCUUCUUUAGAUUAAUGUUGUCAGCUAUUUUGUCAUAGCAAUGAAAAAGCAACGAGUACAACUAUGAUCACGUUGACUAUGGAUGAAGCAACAGCAUAGCUGAAGCUACUGGGCAAUCUAAAGACAAGACAAGAAGAGCGCUGUCCCCAGAUUCUGCCUAGCAGCAUGGAUUGGCAUGGAUUUCUUUUGUGGAUAUUUAGAUGAAAAAGCAUAGUUCAGGUUCCAAGUGUUUGGGCACAACAUCACAGCAGCUGGCAUAUAUGGUGGAAGAGGAUUUUCGUGCACGGCAGACAGGAAAGAGGAAAAAGGAAGAGACCGGGACAAGUUCACAGAAGCGCACAGUAAAAAAGGAAGGAGUCAACAGUCGUGGCACAUGAGCCCAGAGAGACAAGUCUACUUCUUGUUGCAGAGAUAAGUACAGACAACAACCUUCAUCAGAGAAGCUGUUCUUUACAGCAAAUGGAGACCACCACAGGAAAGCCAACUGGACACAACACGGUGAUCAAUUGACCAUGGAGAACCCAGCCCCAGUGGAUACAAUCAUAUCAUAUCUCCUACAUCUCUGGCUCAGGGAACAUGGUGGAAAAGGCGCCAAUAAAAUGAUAAGAGCCAGAAUACCAGGAAAGCUGCUGUGAAACAGUCUCCUCUAGAAAUAGCUACAUCAACUAGACGGAACUAUGGCAAUCUCAUGGAAAGAUUUGGUGGAGUCUACCCCCUAGACAGAGAGUGGCUGCUGAAGAGUGAGUCCUCUUAUUGGUUGACCAGUGCAGACUUGUCAGCCACGAAACCAUAAAUACACAAACAAAAAAAAUGGACUCAAAAGGUCAUUGUAUAUUUUUCUCAUAGAAAGACGUGUGUAUGUAACCUAGCCAGGCCACAGAGGAAGAGGAUCCAGGCAGUCCUGAUGACUGGAUAGGCUGAGGUCAGUCAGGAGAGGAGGAGCGCUCCUCCUUUUUGAGGACUAGGAGAAAGGGAUAGAGAGAAGAGGGAGGGAGGGGAGGAUUAGGAGGAGGUGGGGGAGGGGGCUACAAUCUGGAUGUGAAGUGAAUAGAAUAAAUUAAAAAACAACAAACAAAAGACAAAAGAAAAGGCACUAUUUUUUAUUUUUAUAUACACUUUUAUUUAUUUAUGAUGUUGUUUGUUUCCCUGUGAUUUUUAAUUUUUAUUAUUAGUUACAUUUUAUUAACUCUGUAUCUCAGCUGUGUCCCACUCUCUCAUUCCCUCCCAAUCUCUCCCUCCAUCAUCUCCUCCCUGCCCCCACUAUGAGAAACCAAUUGGUUACUGAGCUACCACGGGUUUCAUCCGAGCAGAGGUUCUAGGUUAUAUCCGUACAUGGUCCUUGGUUGAGUGUCAGUCUCAGAAAAGACCCCUGUGCUCAGAUAUAUUUGGUUCUUGUGGAGCUCCUAUCCUCUCCAUGUCAUACUAACUAACUCCCCCUUCUUUCAUAUGAUUCCCUGCACUCUGCCGAAGAUUUGGUUUUGAGUCUUAGUAUGUGCUUUGAUACACUGCUAGGUAGAGUCUUUCAGAGGCCCUCUGUGGUAGGCUCCUGUCCUGUUACUUGUUUUCUCCUAUGUCCAAUGCACAUCCCAUUUGUCUUUCUAAGUGAGGAUUGAUCAUCUUACCCAGGGUCCUCUUUCUUGUUUAUCUUCUUUAGGUGUAUAGAUUUCAUUAUGUUUAUCAUAUCUUAUAGGUCUAUAUAAGUGAGUAUAUACCAUGUGUGUCUUUCUCCUUUUGGGAUACCUCAUUCAGAAUGAUCUUUUCUAGAUCCCACCAUUUGCCUGCAAAUUUCAUGAUUUCCUCGUUUUUGAUUGCUGAGUAGUAUUCCAUUGUGUAAAAAUACCACAAUUUCUGUAUCCAUUCCUCUGUUGAGGGACAUCUGGGUUAUUUCCAGGUUUUGGCUAUUACAAAUAAA